rnacentral:rRNA from 1 species
UUAUUGGGCGUAAAGAGCUCGUAGGCGGUUUGUCGCGUCUGCUGUGAAAGCCCGGGGCUUAACCCCGUGGUGUGCAGUGGGUACGGGCAGACUAGAGUGCAGUAGGGGAGACUGGAAUUACUGGUGUAGCGGUGAAAUGCGCAGAUAUCAGGAGGAACACCGAUGGCGAAGGCAGGUCUCUGGGCUGUUACUGACGCUGAGGAGCGUAAGCAUGGGGAGCAAACAGGAUUAGAUACCCUGGUAGUCCAUGCCGUAAACGUUGGGCACUAGGUGUGGGGGACAUUCCACGUUUUCCGCGCCGUAGCUAACGCAUUAAGUGCCCCGCCUGGGGAGUACGGCCGCAAGGCUAAAACUCAAAGGAAUUGACGGGGGCCCGCACAAGCGGCGGAGCAUGCGGAUUAAUUCGAUGCAACGCGAAGAACCUUACCAAGGCUUGACAUACACCAGACCGGCCCAGAGAUGGGUUUUCCUCUUUGAGGUUGGUGUACAGGUGGUGCAUGGUUGUCGUCAGCUCGUGUCGUGAGAUGUUGGGUUAAGUCCCGCAACGAGCGCAACCCUCGUUCUAUGUUGCCAGCACGUGAUGGUGGGGACUCAUAGGAGACUGCCGGGGUCAACUCGGAGGAAGGUGGGGAUGACGUCAAAUCAUCAUGCCCCUUAUGUCUUGGGCUUCACGCAUGCUACAAUGGCCGGUACAAUGGGUUGCGAUACCGUGAGGUGGAGCUAAUCCCAAAAAGCUGGUCUCAGUUCGGAUCGUGGUCUGCAACUCGACCACGUGAAGUCGGAG